rnacentral:rRNA from 1 species
GACAGAGGUGCCAAGCGUUAGGCGGAAUCACUGGGCUUAAAGCAUGUGUAGGCGGAUCGUUAAGUACCUUGUGAAAUCCCACGGCUCAACCGUGGAACUGCUGGGUAUACUGGCGAUCUUGAGCCACCUAGGGGCGAGCGGAACAAGCGGUGGAGCGGUGAAAUGCGUAGAUAUCGCUUGGAACGCCAACGGUGAAAACAGCUCGCUGGGGGUGUGCUGACGCUGAGACACGAAAGCCAGGGGAGCGAACGGG